rnacentral:lncRNA from 9 species
CUUUUUGUCUUUUGUCUUUUGUUGUUGUUGUUGUUGCUAUUUCUUGGGCCGCUCCCGCGGCAUAUGGAGGUUCCCAGGCUAGGGGUCGAAUCGGAGCUGUAGCCACCGGCCUACGCCAGAGCCACAGCAACGCGGGAUCCGAGCCGCAUUUGCAACCUACACCACAGCUCACGGCAACGCAACGCCGGAUCGUUAACCCACUGAGCAAGGGCAGGGACCGAACCCGCAACCUCAUGGUUCCUAGUCGGAUUCGUUAACCACUGCGCCACGACGGGAACUCCCGUGCUGAGUAUCUGUGUAGAAAUGGGCUUGUGGGGAAGUUGUUUCCACAUGAUUUGCCACGUCUCCCGAGACAUCCUCGAUUAAUGCGAUAAGCCCAUCAUGAUAUCAGAUGAUAUCACCCGCCCUCUGCACAGAGCCCUUUGCUGUGUUUCCACCUAAUCCUUUCAACAAGCCUGGGAGAUGGGCAUGGAUGUUGCUACGUCGCUGAUGACUACAGAUGAGGGAAGGCAGGCACAAAGAAGGUUUAGGGUUGAACAAAGCCUAUAGGAUCCUCAAGCGUGUUCAUCACAAGAACGGAGUUAAGGAACAAGGACUGGGGAUGAGCCAGUACGCACCCACUGGGGAAUAGAGUGGUAGGAGGCUGUGCAGGCUGCUCUGCAAGAACCCUGGUCUCAGCUUUCCCUCUGAGACCUGAACCUGCAAAGUACACAGCACAGUCAGAACCUAACAGAGCAAAACUCCAUCAGUGAGAUGGGUGGCUCUCAUGUCCCUCGAGAAUCAAGAACACCCUUAUGAAGCACACUGCUGGGACAGAAGCUAUAUGAAGCAGGUCCAGAAUGGAAGCACAGGGGAGGAUAGGUACCUAGGCCAAGUCUGACACAAUGCAUGGAAGUACUGAUCUGGGGAGCAGGCCCCUGUCCCCUGAACUCGGUGGCCACUCUGUUUAACAGGUGUAUACUAUCAUGUAGCCGGGCACUGGAAUAGUCAAACUCGACCCUCCUGUCCUGACAGCCCGCUCCCCAGGCACCUUUCUGAUCGUGUGACUUCCCAAGUAGCCUGCCUUUGGGGAGAGAAUGUGUCGGUCAGGAUGAAGCGAACAUCUGGUCUACUUGACAGUUAUAUUGCUCACUGUAAAUUAAUGAACUGGCUCUCUGGUUUCCUCUGUCAGUCUCCUGUGAGAUGUGUUAACAUGAGUCAGUGUCCUUGAACCUGGGACCCUGAAAAAUCUGAGCCUGCACAUUGGAGCGCCUGACCUGAGCCAGGGCCGAUGGAGGACCGCUCUGUAAAGUGUCUGAAGGUCUCGGUUAAAUUGAAAUGUCAUCCUUGAAGAUCAAUACCUAAACAAUCAUGUCUUUGACCAAAAAUUGACCUUAGAGUUUUGAGACAGUGUGAUGUAACCCAGAGACACUGGGUCAGCUGUUAGGCUAAGUUAGAGACCUGACAGGAAGUCAUAGUUGAUACCAUAGACGAGAUGACAGGUCAGGACUAGGUGACCACCCAGACCUGGAGGCCUUGACCUGACAUGUGGAGGUGGGAAGUGGGCUGGAGCAUUCUGAAUAAUUAGAUGAUCUUGUAAGUACUAAGGGAUUAAGAAUCAGUCAGGGACACCCCUUGAAAGAACUUUUGAAAGAGCUAUGGAGCCUCUUUCCAUUUGACAUUUUCUUAUACCAUAAUGGUGACCAAGUGACAAUAAGAAACUUAUCAUACAAGAGCAACACACACCCUAGACUCUUUCUCUCCGACUAAGCCACUGUUUGCCUGUAAGAAGAAGAAAAAGUGCAGGCAGAACAGGAUUACCUAUGGUCCAGGUAGGAACCCUUGGAGCGCGUCAGGUGUCACGCGACAAACCACAGCCCAGGGCCUGGGCACAGUGGGUGCACAGCACCAAUCACGUGGAUAGUGCACCUUGAAAAUCUAAGUGGAGCAGGUCUGUGUGGGUCUCUAGGGACUUCCUGAUUCAGAGGAUUUGCAGCAGGGCCACCGGGAUGCGGUAGCACCGGGCAAACACCCCAGGGGGUGCAAUUCAAGGACACCCUGAUGCAAAAAAAAGACAGCCCUUGGAAAUGUGCUAAGAGGUGGCCCACGGCCGAAGAAUGGUCCGAACAGCACCUUUCCCAUGAACAUCUUCUUGAAUUACAGAGUAAAACCCACAGGCAUGGAAAUAAAGGCAAUAAUGCAGCCUUCCGUUCUUAUGGCUCCAUUUCCCAUUUUCACAUCCAUUACCUUCCCUGGAUGGAGUCAUUCCUAUUCUGACAAAUCUCAGAAAAAAUUGCAACCGUGGUUCUCUCCAACUGCCGGGUAGAUAGUUCCCGGUGCUAUUUAGCUUACCGCAAUCGGGUUACUCGUUCCGAAUUGCAUACGUUUUCUUCAUUAGGAGUAACUCGGGUGAAUGAUGGCUGCCCUUCAAUUUCAGUAAAGUGUGGACCAUUCAGGUUCUAGCCGCAUCCCUGCCUCGUUCAGACAGUUGUCUGUUUGGGAGAGCUGAAGUAAAUCACAUUCGAAGAUAAUAGCACAGUAGGGGCAUGUUACCUUUUUUAGAUACAACUUCCCUGUGCCCACAUCAGAGCUCUAAGCAUUCUCUGCAGAACUCAGUCUUCUAGAUGACCGUUGUGUCUUGAAGCAGCUAACUUGGCAAGCCUGUGGGCCUCUUCUCAGCUAAUGAAAAUGAUAACAGCCAGCACAUUUCCUCAGGGGACGUCUACCACUAUAGUAUUACUUCCUGGAACUUU